GCCAGACCAAACGCAGGUAUUUCACCCCCAUUUUCCCCAGUGUUUGCGAGUAGAGAAUCUCACCGCCCUUUUCUUUUCUGUUUUUUAACCAACAAAACUCUUAAUUUGAGGUAGAUUUUGGUGAAUUAUACCAGUUAGCUUGAAGAACCACACAAGGUCUAUGGCCAGAUCCCAGAUGAUUGACAGGUGCCAGCUACAGGGAUGGAAGAAGAAGAAGAGGCCGUUUGUUGAUACAGCCAUGUUUUCCUCUCUUUGAACGACUGAUCUGCAAAGGGUCGCUGGAGCCUAUCCCAGGCGUCACUGAGGGGCAGGCGAGGAGACACCCUGGACAUGCCGCCAGACCAUCACAGGGCCUACACACCCGGAGGAAACCAACGCAGACACGGGGAGAACAUGUAAACGCCACACAGAGGACGACCCAUGGUGACCCCCAAGGUUGGACUACCCCGGAGCUCGAACCCAGGACCUUCUUGCUACGAGGCGACCGCGCUAACCACUGCGCUACCGUGCCGCCCAAAAUACUGUACCAUCCAUGAAAAUUAAAUGAGAGUGGAACGGACAUUGAACUGUUUGCCGUGGCGAUUUGAGUAGUUCAAAAGAAAAUGGCGGUUGCUGUUAGUUGUUAUGGUGCCAACACACGUCAAUGGGGCUGUAAAUGUUACUCCGCGACUUGCCACAAAUCGGUACGAAAGUUGGCCCACUACAACGGUCACAGUUCUUUGCAAUGGCAGCGGUUCAAAUAAAAAUGGCCUAAACAUCCUGCUAUGAUUUGAAUUGGCAUGUCCAUUCUACUCAUUCGGUUUCUAUGUACCACCAUAUGAAUAAAUGCGAUUUAUACACCAAAGCAAUGUAAACUACUAAUACGACACGUUAGCCCCUAGCUAACGGGUCUGACUCUUUAGCCGAGCGGUUAGUGAUGCCGCCUUGUGGUGCAGUACAAUUCGUAUCGAAUCCCGCACCGGGCAAAAAAAUAACCGGUUACAGCAGCAUAUAUAUAUAGUAACGAUCAGGGAUGAAUAGGCUCGGUAGCCCUUGGCUAACCGGUCGGACCCUUUAGUCGACUGGUUAACGUUGUCGCCCGCGGUGCGGAAGGUCCGAGUUCGCUACAAUAUGUCCCCCCCCCUCACAACAAUGCGUUUUUUCCCCGAGUGCGACUUAUACUCUGCUGCAACUUGUAGUCCGGGAGAUACGGUGCACUGCACAUCUCCUCAGUGGCGGCUGGUGCUAACAAUUUUUUUUUUACGGACAAUGAAGCCUAUAGCUUUUCUAUAGGCCACAUUGUCCUUCUUAAUAACUGUGACUGUGUGGACAUUAUAGCAGCUGUCAGGUGUGCUGUGCCAUGGCAAAUUGGGCCCCCCCCCAAAAAAAUUUGUUAGCACCAGCCGCAACUGCAUCUCCUAUGUAUUCAUGUAGUCUACGUCCUAGUCCAUGUUACAGACUCAGACAAACUGUGCUGCAGGUCGCCACGGUGCAGCGCCCCUGUGAUAUCAGUUAAGUGAGAAUGUUAUUUCCUGUUUUUAAAUUGCCGUUCCCCGCAUUAAAUCAAUUAGGCAUUAUCAUUUUGUUGGGCGCAACCCAACUCAUUUGACUUGUUUGACUCACUGAUAUUUAAAUGAGAUGAAUAGUGAGAAAAUUGGAAAUCAAAUUGAUGCAAAACCUUUAAUCUAAGGCCUCGUUAAAAACAAUGAGGAGGAAUAUGAGGGAAAAGCUUCCCCUGAAAAAUUGAGUGUUAGCUUUUAAACUACUUUUGCUAUGUUGCUGCGUAUAGAAUACAAACCCAUUCAAACAGACCCCUGUUUCUACAUCUUAUGCAGUGUUUUCUUGAUUCUGUCUGUGGCAUACCUAUUAAGAUAAAUUCAGUCUGUGGUCAGAAACUGCCCCAGUUACUUGCAAGAGGUAAUAGUAGAAAGUCAUUUGUAAUUAGCAGGGCAGAAUCAUCCUUUUAUUUGUAAAGCAUGGAUUGGAUUGAUGACAAUGAAACUGAGCAAACACGCAAACAGAGUAAA